CAGCAGCCGCUGGAAUACAGAGGGUGCGAGCGUUAAUCGGAUUUACUGGGCGUAAAGCGUGCGUAGGCGGCUUUUUAAGUCGGAUGUGAAAUCCCUGAGCUUAACUUAGGAAUUGCAUUCGAUACUGGGAAGCUAGAGUAUGGGAGAGGAUGGUAGAAUUCCAGGUGUAGCGGUGAAAUGCGUAGAGAUCUGGAGGAAUACCGAUGGCGAAGGCAGCCAUCUGGCCUAAUACUGACGCUGAGGUACGAAAGCAUGGGGAGCAAACAGGAUUAGAUACCCCCGUAGUCCCUGUCUCUUAUAC
rnacentral:rRNA from 1 species